rnacentral:rRNA from 2 species
GGAUACGAUCAUACCAGCACUAAAGCACCGGAUCCCAUCAGAACUUCGAAGUUAAGCGUGCUUGGGCGAGAGUAGUACUAGGAUGGGUGACCUCCUGGGAAGUCCUCGUGUUGCAUUCC